rnacentral:pre_miRNA from 1 species
UCAUCUGGGACCUUGCAUGUAGGGCCAGAAUGUCUUAUGCAGCCAAGGAUGACUUGCCGGCAGCAUGUUCUGUGUGAGUGAAAAUGCCUUUUUUGGUUCAAUGCACAUAUGUGGGUGUUGGCCAGUUGUCCUUGGCUACAUUUAAUAUUCCGGUUCUCAUGCUAGACCUCCGAUGA